GACGAACGCUGGCGGCGUGCUUAACACAUGCAAGUCGAACGGAAAGGCCCUGCUUUUGUGGGGUGCUCGAGUGGCGAACGGGUGAGUAACACGUGAGUAACCUGCCCUUGACUUUGGGAUAACUUCAGGAAACUGGGGCUAAUACCGGAUAGGAGCUCCUGCUGCAUGGUGGGGGUUGGAAAGUUUCGGCGGUUGGGGAUGGACUCGCGGCUUACCAGCUUGUUGGUGGGGUAGUGGCUUACCAAGGCUUUGACGGGUAGCCGGCCUGAGAGGGUGACCGGCCACAUUGGGACUGAGAUACGGCCCAGACUCCUACGGGAGGCAGCAGUGGGGAAUAUUGCACAGUGGGCGGAAGCCUGAUGCAGCAACGCCGCGUGCGGGAUGACGGCCUUCGGGUUGUAAACCGCUUUCGCCUGUGACGAAGCGUGAGUGACGGUAAUGGGUAAAGAAGCACCGGCUAACUACGUG
rnacentral:rRNA from 1 species